rnacentral:lncRNA from 10 species
GUUUUUUUUGUUUUUUUUUUGAGGCGGAGUCUUGCUCUAUUGCCCAGGCUGAAGUGCAGUUGCAUGAUCUCAACUCACUGCAACCUCUGCCUUCUGGGUUCAAGCGAUUCUCCUGCCUCAGCCUCCCGAGUAGCUGGGAUGACAGGCGCCCGCCACCAUGCCUGGCUAAUUUUUGUAUUUUUAGUAGAGACGGGUUUCACCAUGUUGGCCAGGCUGGUCUUGAACUCCUGACCUCAGGUGAUCCGCCCACCUUGGCCUCCCGAAGUGCUGGGAUUACAGGUGUGAGCCAC